rnacentral:pre_miRNA from 9 species
AAAUAGCAUCAGAAAUGUUGAUUGGCUGUCGUCCUACCUGCAAGUUAUUAGAGUGAAUAAUGACGUCUAAUACUGUCAGGUAAUGACGACAGCUUGUCCUCUAGGAAGUAUAUGACUCC